rnacentral:tRNA from 1 species
GUCCUUAUAGCUCAGCGGAUAGAGCGUCUGGUUGCGGUCCAGAAGGUCGCAGGUUCGAUUCCUGCUAAGGACAC